CCUACGGGUGGCAGCAGUGAGGAAUAUUGGUCAAUGGCCGGAAGGCUGAACCAGCCAUGCCGCGUGAAGGUCAGUGCCCUAUGGGCGUUAAACUUCUUUUGUGCGGGAGCAAUAAUGGUCACGUAUGGCCAGACGAGAGUACCGUACGAAUAAGCAUCGGCUAACUCCGUGCCAGCAGCCGCGGUAAUACGGGGGAUGCAAGCGUUAUCCGGAUUUAUUGGGUUUAAAGGGUGCGUAGGCUGUGAGGUAAGUCAGCGGUGAAAUGCCCCCGCUCAACGGGGUGAAGUGCCAUUGAUACUGCCUGGCUGGAAUGCGGAUGCGGUGGGAGGAAUGUGUGGUGUAGCGGUGAAAUGCAUAGAUAUCACACAGAACACCGAUUGCGAAGGCAUCUCACGAAUCCGCGAUUGACGCUGAUGCACGAAAGCGUGGGUAUCAAACAGGAUUAGAUACCCUAGUAGUC
rnacentral:rRNA from 1 species